UGGGGUAUAGCCAAGCGGUAAGGCAAGGGACUUUGACUCCCUCAUGCUUGGUUCGAAUCCAGCUACCCCAG
rnacentral:tRNA from 1 species